AAUGAGUGAUGACAGGAUGUUUCGGUCCCAUAUGAAUCCUACUGAUUUCACCGAUAACAUUUCUUGCUGACAUU
ensembl:snoRNA Snord73b small nucleolar RNA, C/D box U73B